GAUGAACGCUAGCUACAGGCUUAACACAUGCAAGUCGCGGGGUAACAUCUGGUAGAGCUUGCUCUUCCAGGAUGACGACCGGCGCACGGGUGAGUAACGCGUAUCCAACCUGGCCCAUACCACGGGAUAGCCCGUCGAAAGGCGGAUUAAUACCGUAUGCUGUCAUUAAGAUGCAUAUAUUGAUGACGAAAGGACUGGCGGUAUGGGAUGGGGAUGCGUCUGAUUAGCUUGUUGGCGGGGUAACGGCCCACCAAGGCGACGAUCAGUAGGGGUUCUGAGAGGAAGGUCCCCCACAUUGGAACUGAGACACGGUCCAAACUCCUACGGGAGGCAGCAGUGAGGAAUAUUGGUCAAUGGGCGAAAGCCUGAACCAGCCAAGUAGCGUGAGGGAAGACUGCCCUACGGGUUGUAAACUGCUUUUAUGCGGGGAUAAAGUGGGCCACGCGUGGCCUUUUGCAGGUACCGCAUGAAUAAGGACCGGCUAAUUCCGUGCCAGCAGCCG
rnacentral:rRNA from 1 species